AUUGAACGCUGGCGGCAGGCCUAACACAUGCAAGUCGAGCGGAGCGGCGGACGGGUGAGUAAUGCCCAGGAAUCUGCCUGGCAGUGGGGGAUAACGUACGGAAACGGGCGCUAAUACCGCAUACUAUUAGAUGACCCUAGGUCGGAUUUGCUAGUGGGUUGGGUAAAGGGCUACCAAGGCGACGAUCCGUAACUGGUCUGAGAGGGUGAUCAGUCACACUGGAACUGAGACACGGUCCAGACUCCUACGGGAGGCAGCAGUGGGGAAUAUUGGACAAUGGGCGAAAGCCUGAGCCAGCCAUGCCGCGUGUGUGAAGAAGGUCUUCGGAUUGUAAAGCACUUUAAGUUGGGAGGCGUUACCAACAGACUAAGCACCGGCUAACUUCGUGCCAGCAGCCGCGGUAAUUC
rnacentral:rRNA from 1 species